rnacentral:lncRNA from 1 species
GGUUUAUAAAACACUUUAAAUACAUGAUCUCAUUUGAGCCCCAUAAAACCCUGUGAGGUUUGGUGCCAUUGUUAUUAUUAUCACGCCCCACAGAUAAGGAAAUGGAGGCUGAGAGGUUAAUUUGCCCAGGUUUACACAGCUAGUAUGGAUCUGAGAUAGCAUUUGAACCUGGGAAUUCCUGACUAUAAGUCCUGCUCUCUGGAGUCUACCUGUAGGAGGCGGAUGGGAAGUGGGCAGUGAGUGGGGAGUGAGGGCUGGCACUGAGAACUAUAGCAUAUGAAGGACUAGAAUAAUUACACUGGACAGGCUGAUCAAGGUCUGUUGUCUCUGGCAGCUGCUGUGGCACUGCCACCAUUGCUAAUUCUCCCAGAGGUGGUCCUUGGGGAUGGGACCAGACAUGGGUCCCAACAGCUUAAAACUGCACUAAGACUUUGGAGACAUCCGGUAUUAUUUCAGUUGACCUGAGUCCCUUUGAGGAAGAUAAACUUCCCAGCUUCUGUCCAUGGGAAUGCCUACCUAGCCUAGGCCAUUUUGGAUCUUCAUAUCUUUGGGUUGUAGCAAUGGACACGGAAAUAGAUUAUCGGGCCCUAGAUUCCCUUGCUCCUUCCAGGGGCCCCAAACUACCACUGUGGCACCUCUCUGUCCAGAGUGCUUUGGACAGCUUGGGCUGAAGGGAAGCCAAGACUGAUAUCAGCUUCCGUGUCCAACCACAUAGGCCUUGAGACCUCCUGUUCUGGUAGUGACCCUGUUCUGUUCUGAAGACAGCCUCCCCACGGUAAGCUACUCAAUCCCUCCUGCCCCUGUUCUAUCCCAGGCCCAUCUGAAGCACCCUCCCCUAUCUGGUGGGCUUCCUCCUGCGUCCCAUGACCUUCCCUACAUCCUCCCCACUCCUCAGGUGGAGUAUAGAGUCAUCAUACAGGUGCUCAAUGAGAAUGAUCACCAGCCCCACUUCCUAGAAGAGCCCCUUGUGACCCAGAACAUCAGUGAGCUGGCAGCCCUUCACUCCGUGGUAUUUACAACACAGGCUGAAGAUGGGGAUGGAGACUCCCUCCUCUAUUCCAUUGACAACACUUCUGUGAGUCUCUGCACAGUAACUCUGGGCCAGGGCUGA